UAGCGUAGGGGGCAAGCGUUUGUCCGGAUUUAUUGGGCGUAAAGAGCGUGUAGGCGGCCUGAAAGGUCAGCUGUGAAAACUCGAGGCUCAACCUCGAGACGUCGGUUGAAACCAUCUGGCUAGAGUCCGGAAGAGGAGUGUGGAAUUCCCGGUGUAGCGGUGAAAUGCGCAGAUAUCGGGAAGAACACCCGUGGCGAAGGCGGCACUCUGGGACGGUACUGACGCUGAGACGCGAAAGCGUGGGGAGCGAACAGG
rnacentral:rRNA from 1 species